UCUUAUGGAGGAGCAAAGGAAGUAGUUUCUUGAGACGGAAACUACUCCUGUUAAAGAUGCUUGAA
rnacentral:pre_miRNA from 1 species